rnacentral:rRNA from 1 species
UACACCGCCCGUCACACCAUGGGAGUUGGCUUUACCCGAAGGUGGUGCGCUAACCUAGCAAUAGGAGGCAGCCAACCACGGUAGGGUCAGCGACUGGGGUG